rnacentral:lncRNA from 1 species
AUUGUGAGGAGUGACCCCUACGGAAUGUUGGGACACCUCCCUCGUCCAGUGAACCGAGCAGGAUCCUAGCUGGCAUAUCGUAAUUAGUGUGGCUGAAGGCAGUCUGCAGGGAAAAAGAGAGAGGAAUUCAAAUCUUACAUGUGUUUCCUAAGACCCCAACAUGGCACACAGAGAUCCCUUACGGCAUCCCUACCGUGUUACUCUACUGCUCACUGCAUUUCUUCUCUGCCUGACCCUACUGGGACCUACUCUUUGCCCUUUGGGAAGUGUGAGAGGGAUAGCUGGUGAGUGUGUGGGGCAUUGGGGGGGACCUGAGUCCCGGCCAGCGACCAAUCACACCCCAAACUCUGAGGCUUUCUGGGGCACCUGCCUGUGGCUGUGCAGUCCUCCCGACCCACCCGAGUCUCUUCCCACUUCCACGCCUGUCUUCUGUUUUCAUGUUUUGGGAUUUGUAAGAAUAGAUGUGUCUCUGGUUCUGCUAAAGGUGGAGUUUGAGUUUAUUUCCUUUUUAUUAGUUUGGGCAAAUUUCUGAAAAGAAAAGACAGAAAUGUGUUUAUUCUCCCAAAGUAAGACUGGAGGGGCCUGCUCCCCUGUGGCUGACAACAGCAGAGAGGAGCGAGAGUGGAGGUGGAAGACAGCCCGUGUCAGGUGCACCUGGCAGCCCGGCCAAGUCCCUGUGUGUGUGCUCCCAAGAGAAUUUCUUCUGAUUGCGCAACGCAAAUCUGUUUCUAACCUGUUAAACUGAAUUUUCCUUUGCUUGUCCAGGAGGUGCCUUCCCCAAAUGGAAGUCGUUUGUUGGCACUCUCAAACCUGUAAGUGUUGUUUCUGAAUGCCAUCUAUUCCCACCACAGAAUCACCGACUCAGAGCUUACUGCACAAGGAAGAAAGGGUCCAGGGGCCGGGGGUGUUUCACCUGUGCCUGCUGGGCGAGACUGGCCCCAGGCUGCUGGCGUGGACCCGGCCGCUCAGCACCUGGUGGUUCACAUGCUGGGCCCCCAGGUGCCAAGCAUUGCUCAGAGGCACAGGUGUCCUCCUUCCCACUUCUCAAAAGCCGGCUCCCUCCACCUCCCUGUUCCUGUCCCCCUCCUCCUGCAGGGACCUUCUCUGUGAACCUCCUGCCUUGGACGGGGUGACAGUCCUUCUCCAUCUGAACCAAAUGGACAUGCUGAGAUUCCACAUCUGGAGACGGAUGAGUUUUAGAGAACGCGUCCCUCGGAGGACCUUCUGGGCCCAGCACGCUCCAUGGGGGCGUAGGCGCUAUUAUGGUACAGAGGACACCCCAACAGUGCUGCCCCCCGACUGCCCGCCCUCUCCAUGCAACCCCUACAGCACUGCCCCCACCCUGACCUGCUCGCCCUCCCCGUGCACCUCCACAUUGCUGCCGCCCACCUGCUCGCCCUCCCCGUGCACCCCAACAGUGCCCCCCACCUGCUCGCCCCCAUUUCCCGGCUCCCUCCCUUUUUCCUUCUUUCUCUGCCUCUGUAUGGCCCCCUCUGCUCUGAUUGAUCCAAGGUCACUCCUCAGAGACCGCGCCCUGGGACUCCAGGCCUUUGGUCCUAUUCCUUCUUUUCACUGUGCACCUUUCAAAGGCCAGGUUAUAAUCUGA